rnacentral:lncRNA from 1 species
GCCGAGUUUAACUAACCACUGACAGCUCUGUAAACAAAGCAAGGACAAAAAGAGCCCGCUUCCCCUUUUCUGGUAGUCAUUUUGGGUUUGGGGGCUGCAGGGGAAUUCUGGAAUCCUUGGCUUCAUGGCACAGAAGCACCAGGGAAGCGAGCUCCUCAGUUGAAGAGCUGGAAAGGGAAGAUCUUUCUGGGAUUAAAACCAUCACGGAGGAGGUCCAGAUUCUCCUGUCUCCCGAGACCUGAAGCCACACCAUGGAUGAUUUUGAACGUCGCAGAGAACUCAGGAGGCAAAAGCGGGAAGAGAUGCGCCUUGAAGCAGAAAGAGGCUCUAAGACUUAGGCAAGACGAAGAGCAGGAAUCUGCUACUUGGUGAUGAAUUUUGAGUGGAGGUGAUGGGUAUCAAGGCGUCAGGAAGGACUGCCAGACCUUGUUGUCUCACCCAGAAGAGUCGACACCAAUGCAGGUUGACUACCUCUUCUACAUGUGGCCAAAAGGAUUUUGAGCUUGGGUGUAUCUGCUGAGAAA